rnacentral:rRNA from 1 species
AACAGGAUUAGAUACCCUGGUAGUCCACGCCGUAAACGAUGAGUGCUAGGUGUUGGGGGGCUACGCCCCUCAGUGCCGAAGGUAACCCAUUAAGCACUCCGCCUGGGGAGUACGGCCGCAAGGCUGAAACUCAAAGGAAUUGACGGGGGCCCGCACAAGCGGUGGAGCAUGUGGUUUAAUUCGAAGCAACGCGAAGAACCUUACCAGGGCUUGACAUCCCGCUGACCCCUCCAGAGAUGGAGGUUUCCUUCGGGACAGCGGUGACAGGUGGUGCAUGGUUGUCGUCAGCUCGUGUCGUGAGAUGUUGGGUUCAGUCCCGCAACGAGCGCAACCCUUGUCGUUAGUUGCCAGCAUUUCGGAUGGGCACUCUAACGAGACAGCCGGUGAAAGCCGGAGGAAGGUGGGGAUGACGUCAAAUCAUCAUGCCCCUUAUGUCCUGGGCUACACACGUGCUACAAUGGCUGGUACAAAGGGCAGCGAACCCGCGAGGGGGAGCCAAUCCCAAAAAGCCAGUCUCAGUUCGGAUCGCAGGCUGCAACUCGCCUGCGUGAAGCCGGAAUCGCUAGUAAUCGCGGAUCAGCAUGCCGCGGUGAAUAUGUUCCCGGGCCUUGUACACACCGCCCGUCACACCACGAGAGCUUGCAACACCCGAAGUCGGUGAGGCAACCUUUUAGGAGCCAGCCGCCGAAGGUGGGGCAGAUGAUUGGGGUGAAGUCGUAACAAGGUAACC